rnacentral:lncRNA from 1 species
CCAAAUGUCAUUUGUGUGGGAGCCAAGAAACCCUGCUAUGGGGCAGUGGUCAGAGACCUUUGUCGUGCUUUGAAAGGGGCUGGGCUGGGCUGGGCAGGGCAGGGCGGGUCGUGGCCCACCUGGGGCCACAGUUCAGAGCCACACUUGGGUCUUUGAGGCUGCCCACCCUCCCAGCUGCCAGCAUGGGGUUGGGGGGUGUCCACCCCCAUCAGACUGAGGAGGAAACGGACACUGUGUCACCCAGAAGCAUCCCUAUGUCACCCUGUGAGGCUGGCCUUGGACCCAGGACUCUGGGCGCCUGGUCAGCACCCCAGUGUGAACACAUCCUGCCCUGGGGCCUGGUCCCAGCAGCUCACACAGACCAGGGCUUGCCCAAAGGCAGGUAGGCAGGGCCACUGCUGACCAUGCACCUGGUGGGCCGUGAUUCUGGAACUAAUGGUCUCUGCCUGGCAGGGAGGCCGCCAGGGCCUCUGGGCUUCACCCCUCCCAACCUUCACAGGGGACCUCACCUCAGUGGGAAUGUUCUGGAGCCGGAACCCAAGGUUGGAAUCCCAGCUCCUCCCCUUUCUAGGGCAAGCUCCCAGCCUGUCUGUACUCAGUCUCCCCAACUGUCAAAUGGUAAUAAAACAGUCCUGUCCUCACUGAGUUGUUUGGAUGGGUGAGCAUCAGGUGUCUAGGGCACAGCAUGCUGUGAAGGAGUUAGGAGGGCCAGGUGAAGGAGCCAUGCAGGGCCGGGCCUCCUGGGUAAUGGGGCUAAGAGGAGAAUUCUGUAUGUGGUUCUGAGAAGGAGCAGAGUCCAGCUCUUUUGGAUGUUUGUAUUAGGAAAUUUACUAGAGACCAUGUCACUGCUCCACUCGGAAUCCUCGGGUGGCUUCCCAGUGCCCUUGACAUGGAAUCAAACUCCUCGCUUGGCCAUGCAAUCCGGGCCUGGUAUCCUGGCCCCCUCCCCAGUCCACUGUGGUUGGCUGUGCUGGCCUCGGGGAUCCCAGGCCCUCCACCCUCAUGCCCCACUGAGCACUUGCACCUGUGUCCCACCUCCAGCCCUCACCAGCUGUCCUCCAGCUCUCAUCUGUGAUGCAUCCGCCAGACCUCUGCUCCCAGCCUGCCCUCUCUAAUCUAUAAUCUCAUUUUAUUCUCUGUGUGAGCAUUCAGACUGAUGCUGCCCUGUGCCCGUGCCUGUCAUCAUCCCAGCACACGUGCAGUGUCCCAUAAAUACUGCAGAAUGACUGAGUGAUCAGACCUAGAGAGCCCCAGCCCUGGGUCCACCCUCACUGUGCCUGCACGCGGUGCCAGAGGAGGGCCUGGCCAGGGUAAGGGGCUGUCCAUCUCCUCCCCUGGCCAGUGCCACCGCAACCUCAGCAGUGAGGCUGCAGCUGCCUCGUGGGGAGCCCCUUCCCCUCAUGUCUUCAGCCGCACCCUGGCCCAACAGCCACUCGAGCUCCCUAGUGAGCCAAGCAUUUCUUGGGGACACCAAGAAACCUUGCUUGGUGUCCCCUGCCCAGGCUCCAUGCUCCCGAGAGAGAGAAGAAACUCCACCCUCACCGUCCACGCAGCUCCCCAGGAGUGUCAGAGGGCAGAGGAGGGGGCUCAGGGCCGCACAGCAGAAUGGCCCCAAGGGAGGGAGGGACGGGCCUAAGAACCAUGGGGUGGUUGUCUCACUGGAUGUCCACUCAGUCUCCCACUAAGAAAGCCCACUAGGAAUCAGAGGCAGCAAGGCUAAUGAAAGUCGGUUCUCACAGCAGCUGGGCAGGGAGGAUUCACCUGGGCCUGGGUCCUGCAGCCCUGCUCCUUUGACCCCGUGCCAGGGCCAGCUCUGCACACUCCAGUCCCGGGGCUCGGCCUUUCCCCUAACCAGUGAGUGUGGGCGUCAGUUCGGGCUGCUGUAGAAGAGACCACCAAUCCAGGGCCUAAUCAAUGGAAACUCGUCUCCUGGUUCUGGGAGCUGGAAAUCUGAGGUCAGAUGUGGGCAGAGCUGUUUCCACAUGAGGGCUGUGAGGGUCUGUCCUGACCUCUCUUCUGGCAUCUGGUGGCUGCUGGUGACCUCUGGCCUUCCUUGGCUUGCAGGGAGACCCCGUCUCUGCCUCAUGCCCUCUUGGCAUUCCCACUGUGAGUCUGUCUCUCCAUGUGGUGUUCUUUGUAUGAGGACAGCAUUCCUCCUAAAUUAGGGGCCCGCCCACCCCAGUGCUACCACAUCCUAAUUAAUUACAACACAGCAAUCUGGUCUCCAAGCAAGGGCAUGCCAUUAGACUCUGGAGAUUAGGGCUUCAGCAUACGAAUUGGGGAGUGGGGGCACAAUUCAGCACAUAAUUGUGGGGCUUUUCUGAUGUGUUUUCUUUUCCGAGCUCCCCUCAGCCCCGUUCACUGUAACCGACGGCUUCACCUGCUCCCUGGGAACACUCAGCAGCCCGUGCUGUGCUCCCAAUCUCCUGGGUGUGUGUGGGGUGUGGGGCAGCUCCCCUAUCUCAGUGCUCCCUGCUGCUCCCCCCUGAUGCCUCACACGGGUCCUGCCCACUGCCUGUGUCUGGCUAACCAGCUUUCUUUUGGGGAAACACCCAGUGAUGGUGGUGGGGUGGUGACAGGAGCCUGUGCGUGGUCUACGGGGCUCUGUGUGGAUGUCCUCAUCUGACUGUCCAGCACUCAACCAAAGUGGUGCUGUAUGGGGGGAAGGCAGGGCCACACAGGAUUCAUACCCGGCCAGUGUGCCUGCUGGUCCCUGGGACUCUGCGGCCUCCCCAGUGCCCACGGUGCUCUGAGUAUGAGGCACCUGUGCCUGGCCAGAGGCUCGCUCUAGAACCCAGGGUGGCACCGACACUGGGCACCAUGGCUUCACACAGAGCACCCUGACUUCAUCAGUGCUGCCUUGCUGACUCUGUCUUCUCUUCUUGAGGACUGACACCUGGCCUCACACUCUGGAGGACCCUCUCCAGGCCCUCCUGACCCACCCCUGGUGACCCCUAACCCUCUUUAGCUGACCCUGGCCUGUGUCCUCACCUGUGCCUGCCUGCCAUCACCCUCUCUCAUUGCCUGUGCCCCAGACAGUUCCACAGCUUCCAUCAGAAAUGGUCCAGUAUCCCAUGCCAUCCUGCCCUGCUAGGAAGAGGGGCUGCUGCCAGACCAAUUCUUACUGUAGCAUCCAGGACAGAAACAGCAGGCGUGAGCUGCCUCUCAGAGGGACCUUGGGUGCCUUAUCAGGAAGCCUGGCUUUGAGAGUGGAUGUCAGGCCCUGGGUGAGGUGGAGGGAAUUGGCAGGUCCACUGUGGGCCUGGUGGAGAAGAAGGACAAAGGCCAGCCUCUUUUGUGUGGCAGGGUUUGUGGCAUCAUCAUCCCCUGGAACUAUCCCCUGAUGAUGCUGUCCUGGAAGACAGCUGCCUGCCUGGCUGCCGGGAACACAGUGGUGAUCAAGCCUGCUCAGGUGACCCCACUCACAGCCUUGAAGUUUGCAGAGCUGACAUUAAAGGCCGGCAUUCCCAAAGGUGUGGUUAACGUCCUCCCAGGAUCUGUGCUCCUUGCUUUUUCCUGUGGAUUCUGACUACUGUCUGUAGUCACUUGCUUUCAGCUUGAAGAACUUCUUUUAGUAUUUCCUGUAAGGUGGGUCUGCUAACAACAGAUUAUCUGUUUUUGUUUAUCUGGCAAUAUCCUUAUUUGCCUCUGCUUUUUGAAACACAGUAUUGCUAGACGUAAGAUUCUGGGUUGACACUCUUGUUCUUUCUUUGCACUUGUUCUGCCUUGCACUUUGAAUACAGUCAUGUACUGUCUUCUCCAUCUGGCACACCCGAGGUAGAGUCUUCCCCUUAUGAGUGCGGUCUGGGUGGAGGAAGGGGCCCCAGCAUCUUAGCCAUAGUCACCAAGAACUUAGCUUCUGCAACUGAGAGUUGGCAGAGAUGAGAGGGCUUGGUGGCCUGCACCUCCUGGUGGAUGCCAGCUUCCUUCGCUGGUUGCUGAGAAGGAAAGGAGCGCUGCCUUCCUGGCCACACCUGCCUGGAGUGGAGCUUCCCUCAAGGGGAGGGAGCAGACUGUGCCUUCAGUGCCGCAGAUAUUCCCUGCUCUUACUGAGAGUCAGAUUUUCUUGAAGAAUGUUUCUCCAUUUGUCGUAUGCCCUUAGAAAAAUUUCCAGGGAGUUUAAGUGAUUGUUUUUAGAUCAUCUUCACCAGGAUAGUGGUUUCCCUGGGGAAUGUCCGCAGGGCUCCUCAAGCUGGG